AAGCAUUUUCAGUGCUUUCACGUUUCACCAUGUGCUGGUUACGGAUCUGUGAGCCCAAAUCAGAAGGCAGAAUAUGAUCACCUCUGUUGUGGAUGUGCAGAAACAACUGGACUACUUCUACAUUUCUGUUGGUGAAUGUUACUAUCUAGACUAACCUGGUAAAACUUCCCUCGAAGAGCAUGUGUCAAGAACAGCUCCUACCCCGUGUGCUCCCAUGCAGCCACGCCAAGAGCUGCAGUGAAGCACCAUGCUGUGACCGUGAGGCCUCCUUUUCUGGAGCUUGUGGGUGAUUGCUUAGGAGAUUUUUAUUUCACAAGCUUGAUCCCCAAAAAAGCCCAUGUGAAAGCAACCUGUGAAUUGUGCUUCAUCCUUGAAACCAAACCAACAGCACCUGUUUGUUCACCUCUGUCAUGUACCUCCUAAAAAGGUGGGUUUUCAGAUGCACCAAGCAAAGUUUUAAAAUCAUCUAGAUGUAGAACUGUUUCUGUGAUAUCUCCUUCAUUCCAUGUAUAUCUGUCAGUUUACUCAUACUAAACUCUACUGAUUUUGACAAGACAGAGCUUUCAGCAGCAGCCCAGGAUCUCCAGAUUUUUCUCACUGUGGAUGGACUUCCAGGGUGACUGGAGUUCAAGUCCUUUGCAUCUUAGAAAUGCCUCCUCUGUGAGCAGAUGGUGUCAAAAUGUCUGUUUUUAAUGUACAGUUCAAACGUAUGCCUAGAGCAAAUAAACACACGUCUAAAGAAGCUGGGAGCCUUGCAGUCGUAAUCCAAGUCAUUUGUGCCCUGGUGGUCCUGCCUGUUUUCAGGCACCCCAAAAGUGGUCCUAAGCCAGAGAAGUGAAGAGCAUCUCUCAGCACUCUCAGUAGGCUCUGCAGCUGAGCCGCUGCACAUGGAGUUGUGGCCAGUGGAAGUUCAGACUACAAAGGCUUUCUUGAGUGUGUAUUUUAAAUGUGUGGAGAGGAAAAAGCUACCCAGGGAAAGAGCCUGAGGCUGGAGCUUGCCGAGAACACCAUGUGGAAAUGGUUUGCUCAGCUGCCAUUGCUCAGCAGGGAAGUUUUCCUAGGUCUGAACAGGAUUCAGCUAAACGGUCCCUGCUGGCUGCUUUAAAGGCCUGAAGCCUGUGACCAUGUGAAAUGUGAGAAUGCAGAGCUUUGGCCAUCCCUUUAACUUCAGCUCUCCUGUAAGGCUGCCUCUCUCCUCACGAGGUGUGGAAAAUGCAAAUCCUGAAUGCUGAACACUGGUUUCUCCUGAAAAUGUUAUGUGUUUGAACAUGGAGUAAAAUCCCUUGCAAACUCUUUAUGCUGAUGUCCUUAGAGAGAUGUGACUUCUUUGGCUGAUCCAUGGAAGGAGAAACCAAGACAAGAAGACAGCCUUGGUUGUAGGUGAAGCCAGGACAGGCAGAACAGGAGUCUGCAGCAGCCAAGAAUUUGACUCAUGAGAGCUGUUUCAAAUCAGCCAUUAUGUGAAGGAGAUGCAGUCCAUGUUCUGCAACUGCUAUGAGAGAUCUAUGCCAGAAGCUCUCCUCCCUCUCAGAUAUUUGUCCUGAUCCAGCCUGCUCCCAUCUCCAUGAGACUCUUCCUGCUCUUGCCUAGCUGCAGUCCUUGGUGGGGUCUGAAUCUACUUUCAGCCUUCCAGGCAAGUGGGCAAGUCCCAGGGGAUGCAGCUGCCAGGCCAUGACCAGCUCUGCCCACCCUGUGGGGAAGUGACCAGAAAAACUCCUGAUGCCAAGAGCAGUGUUGUGAAGCCAGAGCAGCACAUGGUGCUUGUUCCACCUCUGAAUCUGGAUGAAGACACAGAGACAUGGGACAGCACCUGUCCCUGUGGGCUCCCUGGUCCCAGCCUGUCACUCUGAAGAAACUGACAGGGGAUGCAUCUUUGCUACUACAAACAUGAGGCAUUAGGCCGUGAACUGGUGGUGACAGGCCUGCUGCCUCUUGUGAUCUGUAUGCAUGAAUUGUUAUAUUACAGAUUUUAGAGAUGGCAACAGACCAACAAAAAUAACUCCUCCUUCACUCUGGGUCUCACUGAACACUUGGUGUUCUAUGAAGAACUAGACUUCCCCUUUCUGCAGCAGAGGUGAACAGAGCAAAAACUACAAUGUGAACUGUAUUUGUGAUCACUGAAAUCAAUUUAUAAUUAUAAUUUUAAAGCUAGUCUUCUGAUUUUGGAGUAUUUUCUCUUAGUAAUGCACAGCACAGGCAAACCUGCAUAUGUGCAUUUAGGCUGCAGGUAAGAGUACGCUAGAGGGAAGUGAGACACAGGGGAACCCCAUUUACAUCAGAUGGGAAGGGCAGAGACAGCCCAGAAAGAGACAUUUGAUGGAAGGUGCAGAUCAGGGUGUCCAUGAGGAAACCAUAUCCUGGAAGGGGGCUGGCAGUUCAGGUAAGCAUUCAAAUGCAUGCAUUUGUACACAAAUAACAUAAACCUAACCCUGAGGCGAGUUUAUUUUCAAACCAGUCACUGUGGCCUUACAACAUACAAAUAUAACCCUUAAUUCUUGCUGUCCCCCUAGAAGAAGAGCAGGAGAAGCCAGGAGAAGACUGCUUCUGGAGAGGCAGUGGAGCCCUCAGCCAAGCCCUGCCAGCCACCUGCAGCCCCCCGGGAACAGGCCCUGGAGUACUGCAGCUCCUGUAAUCUUCCACAUCUGUAUGCUGGAAGGGGAACAGUCAUUUUGCCAGUGUUUUAGUAAAGGAUUAAAAAAAUAAUUAGGAUUUAUAUAUGUUCAAAAGGAAGGGGAACAGUGCAGCAAGUCACAAGAAGUUGAUUAAGUCAGGUUGAUUGGCUCUGCCUAGAAUUACAGCAGUGAGUGUGAAGGUUUAGGAAAAUAGCUGAUAGCCUAUUACCAUGAUGAAGUGCAGCUUAACACUUCUUUUUAUAUUUUAGAGGACUAACAGAUGAGUUCCCUAUGGAUUUUUUUUUCCUAUUACAUGAAAUAACUAUAGAACCCGAACUAUAAUCCCUCACUAACUUACACAUUAGCCCAGGGCAAUAAAGAUGUUUUUAUUGGAGGCAGAUUUCAUGAAAAGUUGUUCAGUUUUAUCUCUGAGUACUGUACUAUGCUGAAGGCAUUUAAGUGUCCUGUUGGGACACUCUGUCCUGGAAAGCAGUUACUCUCAAAAGGACAGCAAGGUCAUUGGAGAAGCUGUAUUUUCUGCCAGAGGAUCCUGCCCUUUCCCCUCAGUUCAUCUGCCACUUUUUUGUUUUGGCUGUGAACAGAAGCCAAGACACACUGUCAGACUGCAAUCCCUGCCUGCACUCUGAUGGGUGCAGAUCCAGACCCAGACAAACAUGGUUGAAAGGGAGGCCAUAGUCCUCUGGCCUGCUUCCUCCAGCUUUGCCAAGUGUUCCUUCCUCUCUUCCUGCCAGCAGUAAAGGAUCCAAUGUCUCUGCAGCAAGGUUUCAAGUUUUCUAUUCAGUUCACACCUGUUACCUGGGCUGUUCCCCAAACCAUCAGGCUGGUUCCCUGCUAUAAGUUGCCACUUUUCCUGUCUUUUCUAGCAGCAGUUAAAACUUGUAAUCCAACUCCUAUCAUCUUAGCUUGAUUUUUCACAGAACCAUUUUCCCUACCCUUGACAAAUGCAGCAGUGGUUCAACCAUGCCUUCCCCAACAGCUCUUGCUGUCCAGGCUGCCUCUCUCUGCCCGUGCUGCCUGGCUAAUGCCCUUGAUUUCACAGAUAACAUAACCCACUCAUCAUUCACCCAUCACUUGGUAUCAGGCUGCAACUGUCUCUUGGCUCUCAUUGUUGUUACAGGAUGGUUAUGUUUUCUAUCAAGACCUUAAUGCCUUCUCCUCUUAUUCCUGCGCUUUCUCUCCCUUCAGCUGACGCCCCGUAAUUACUCAUAAACCUGGCUUCUAGCUGUGAUUCAAUGCUGCACGUUUGUUUCUGCGGCUUCUGUGUUUGGAGGACUGUUGGCAGUUCAGGGGUCCUCUCUCUUUCUUGGGUGUUCCCUGCUCCCCCGCAGACACUCCCAUCUUUCUUUUGGAUUUUUUUGUCCAGUUCCAUUCCUAUAGAAGCUCAAAUACAUACAAAAGGUGUGAGGAUAUCCCCUCUCUAGAGCCAAAGACUUUAUAAUCUUUGCUAGUAGCUAAUAGCAUCGGGAAGUCCUAAUUUACUGCUACAUAUGUGCAGCAGUGUAUGGUCGUAGCAGCAGUACUACUUGGGCUUAGUCCCCUUCCGGUUGUAUUCCAAUCAGCUGGCCUCUGUCUGGAAGGCAGAUGAGGAGCUGGCAUUAGUGGUUUCUUUCCAGAAACUAUUAUGCAGAGAAUAAUCUCUGAUUGAUGAGGUCGUGCUCCACUACCUUACAAAGAAACACGUGUCUAUCCUAGGUCUAAACAUAAGGCCAUACUUGGCAACCA